rnacentral:tRNA from 2 species
UCCCAGUUAGUACAAUGGUCAGUAUAUAUCGCUCUCACCGAUAAGAUCAGGGUUCGAUUCCCUGGCCGGGAA